rnacentral:snRNA from 1 species
UGGUUCCCUCCGAAGUUUCC